CCUACGGGUGGCUGCAGUCGGGAAUUUUGGGCAAUGGGCGAAAGCCUGACCCAGCAACGCCGCGUGAAGGACGAAGUCUUUCGGGAUGUAAACUUCGUAAGAAUGGGAAGAAUAAAUGACGGUACCAUUUGUAAGCCCCGGCUAACUACGUGCCAGCAGCCGCGGUAAUACGUAGGGGGCAAGCGUUGUUCGGAUUUACUGGGCGUAAAGGGCGCGUAGGCGGCGUGACAAGUCAGUUGUGAAAUCUCUGAGCUUAACUCAGAACGGUCAACUGA
rnacentral:rRNA from 1 species